CAGUAGCCGCGGUAAUACGAAGGGGGCUAGCGUUGCUCGGAAUGACUGGGCGUAAAGGGCGCGUAGGCGGAUGGCACAGUCAGAUGUGAAAUUCCUGGGCUUAACCUGGGGGCUGCAUUUGAUACGUGUUGUCUAGAGUGUGAAAGAGGGUCGUGGAAUUCCCAGUGUAGAGGUGAAAUUCGUAGAUAUUGGGAAGAACACCGGUGGCGAAGGCGGCGACCUGGUUCAUGACUGACGCUGAGGCGCGAAAGCGAGGGGAGCAAACAGGAUUAGAGACCCCCGUAGUCCCUGUCUCUUAUAC
rnacentral:rRNA from 1 species